rnacentral:rRNA from 1 species
GAGUGGCGAACGGGUGAGUAACACGUGGGUGAUCUGCCUUGCACUUCGGGAUAAGCUUGGGAAACUGGGUCUAAUACCGGAUAGGACCGCACUUUAGUGUGUGUGGUGGAAAGUUUUUUCGGUGUAGGAUGAGCUCGCGGCCUAUCAGCUUGUUGGUGGGGUAAUGGCCUACCAACGCGGCGACGGGUAGCCGGCCUGAGAGGGUGUACGGCCACAUUGGGACUGAGAUACGGCCCAGACUCCUACGGGAGGCAGCAGUGGGGAAUAUUGCACAAUGGGCGCAAGCCUGAUGCAGCGACGCCGCGUGGGGGAUGAAGGCCUUCGGGUCGUAAACUCCUUUCGCUAGGGACGAAGCUUUUUGUGACGGUACCUAGAUAAGAAGCACCGGCUAACUACGUGCCAGCAGCCGCGGUAAUACGUAGGGUGCGAGCGUUGUCCGGAAUUACUGGGCGUAAAGGGCUCGUAGGUGGUUUGUCGCGUCGUCUGUGAAAUUCUGGGGCUUAACUCCGGGCGUGCAGGCGAUACGGGCAUAACUUGAGUGCUGUAGGGGUAACUGGAAUUCCUGGUGUAGCGGUGAAAUGCGCAGAUAUCAGGAGGACACCGAUGGCGAAGGCAGGUUACUGGGCAGUUACUGACGCUGAGGAGCGAAAGCAUG